rfam:Penicillium steckii strain IBT 24891 PENSTE_contig009, whole genome shotgun sequence.
GCGUGGUUGGCCGAGCGGUUAAGGCGCUGCAUUCAAGAUAACUUGAUAUCUUACUCGUACUGAGUCUCGCAGUCCAGGAAUGGACCAGGGUUCGAAUCCCUGACCACGCA